AUACUGCUAUGACGAUGUACAUAAGCAAGGACCAGCGACAGAGGGACUCUGCCACAGCCUACAGAAUGGUUUUUGAAGCUUUGGGUGUUCUCAUGGCUGCUACAGUGCAAGGUGUUUUUGUGAAUUCUACGAGAGUUGCAGGCGACUGCGCCAAGAAUGGAGAAGAAUCUUCAACAGUGGCACCAGAACAAUUGGACGAUGAAAAGAGGUCCUACUUAGAGGGUUCCAUUGUCGUCAUAGCCACGUGCGUUUUUUGCUCUGUCGUCUGCGUUUUGGGAACGAAAGAGUGUGAUGAUGUGAUUGAAGGGCACAGCGACGGUUUUCUGACGGGCCUUCGUGCAGUACUGACUUUUCCGCCCUAUGUCCGUCUGUCUCUCUGUUUCCUCUUUCUCUCACUGGCUAUUGCUAUUGUUCAAGGAAACUUGGCCCUAUUUUGUACUCAUAGUCUAGAUCUGGGAGACGAUUUCUCCUUAUUCAUCAUCAUUUUACUGGUCUCCUCAAUAGCAUCAAUGCCAAUAUGGCAAUUUAUUUUGAAGAAAUUUGGCAAAAAGUCGGCAUUCGCAGCUGGAAUGAUAAUAUUUAUACCCAUACUUGUAUCGCAGCUGUAUGUAGAAGAUAAUGUUUACGUUUACAUACCUAUUCUGAUACUGGCGGGGUUCAGUAUAGCUGUUGCGCUACUGUUGCCAUGGUCAAUGCUGCCUGAUGUAAUUGAUGAAUUCAUGAUCUCCACAGGAGAAAGAAAAGACGCCAUUUUCUACUCCUUUUACGUUUUCUUUAACAAGUUAGCGGCGGGCCUAGGGUUAGGGAUAUCGCAGGUGGCGCUACAGUUAGUUUUGUCUGUCUGUCCGUCUGUUUACAUCAGAAUCCUAAAGUUUUAUGUACUCUUUUCAAGAAAAGCGACGCAAAUGAAAUAGCUGCAAAAUUCUUUACGCUGUGUACACACUAUUCAUGUGGAAAUGAGUUUUGAAUACCACGUUAUUGAUCUGGUGCUUUAAAAGUACAUUUAAACAAUAAAAUGCUUUCUUUGGUGAUUCAUUCGGGAUAUGAAGGUGGCGACAUUGCAGAAAAAUUACAUAACCCGAGUUAGCGGGUUAUUUCUGCAAUUAUUGUUACCUACAUAAUCUGCAUGAAUCAUCAAAGAAAGCAAUUUAUCGUUUCUAUUUACAUCUUUCUUUUAACUAAUUAAUAAGUAAGUAAAAUUCACUAAAUUACUGUUAACGUACAUAAGUACGUUAGCUGAAAGAAACAGGCAAAACUUUGAGUCUGACAUCAUCAUGAUUAUUUCGUGCAGUCCGUGAUUUUUCUUAGGUCGCUGUAGGUUACGACCAGUCGAUAAACAGGGCGUGUCGAUUUCAGUCCUGUCAGUUUCAUGUCAGUUUCAGCCACUGUAGAUUUCGACCAAUUGAAAAACGGGGCGUGUAGAUUUCAGUUUGGCUGUUUCUAAAGAGCUAUGAAUUGACUAUAAGUUUCCGUAAGAAGUAUAGGGAAUCAUACUAUAAAAUAGACUGGGUGGUUACGUGAGUGGUGCCUGUGACCAGUCUAAAGACGUGGGGCUUGCCCUGCGCCUCCUGGUGGUUCCCGGGCCGGUCAUAUUCGUCCUGGUGGCCCUUCUUCUUCUUUGGGCCUACCCAAUCAACGAGGCUAGGAGAGUGUAUAACAUAGAGCGCCUGGAGAAAAUCAGAGAGGAGGGCGAACAGAAGCAGGACUCACCCCUGCCGCCGGACGAAUACACCAUUGACCAAAGUCUCAGCUACGAGAGCGUUAUGGUGACCAGUACAGAAAUAUAAUAGCCAUAGUUUCCUACUUGAAGAAACCCAAUGUUGACAUGGAUAUUCCUUAUCAUCAACCCUUGAACUUUUAAGAUUAUUGCAAAGACAGUCACGAAUGGAAUUAAAAAGAAUUUUGCAGC
rnacentral:misc_RNA from 1 species